GAAAUAAAUGUCAGACUUGCUUCCUGCGUCACUGUGAUCCAGCACUUCUCCACUUGCUCGUUAGCUCAGUGAAACCAUCAACUCAGCAAGCUGAAAUUGUUGGCACUCUCCAUGGAGAAGCACAGUCCUGGCAUCGCUGGUAUCCUGUAAGACACCACUCCCCAGUGUAAAAGACCAAAUGCUGGAAUUAGGUGCUAUUUAGAAGGGAAGCAGGAGAAUUAAAUGCCAUUCAAAAGAUUUCCUUUUUCAAGAUGUUUCAAAGUUUGCAGAUCUGGUCAAAAAGUAACUUCUAGUACAAUAACACCUGAAAAACCUGCCUAAGCCUCGGGUAAGCUUGUAUUGAAAAAAACUUCAUGUUUACUGAAGAGUUCAAUGCGUUUAUAUUUGGCCAAACAGUUUGCCUCAUUUUCAGGGUUUUCUUUCUCAUUUUUCCCCUUCAUAUCCUCCCUUCAAUUCCUUUCUCAACAUAUAUUUGUCACUUCUCCAGGAAAGUGUUAAACUACGAACAGAAAUUCAAGUGUGACCUUUUCCACAGGUAAAAUAAUUGUUGCUCACUAACACAAACUGUUUUGAAAUUGUAUUUCCCUUAUACUGGGUCCAAAGCUGCCUGCUGCCAAUGGCUUUGACUGUUUUGUUCUGAUUUUGCAGUGGGAUUUGAAACCUGUAAAGCAGGCAUGUGCUUGGGGGGAAAAAGGCUUUCUGAAGGUAGAAGAAAGAAAAUAUGUGUUUACAACUUCUGGUUUUUGGGGUUUUAUUUUUUUCAGAGUUGCUCCUGGAAGGAUGGUGAAAAGGUCACAGCAGAAUUGCAGGGGAAAGGUGUCCAUAGAUCAUAGGUACAAGUUGCUUUCAAAGCAACAUUUCCAGACAGAAAGAUAAAGCAUUAUCAAAGAUACAUUUUUUUCUCUCUUUUAUCUGAAAGGCCAUGUAAAAUUCAGUUCAUCUAGUUGACAACUAAUCAGCCUUGUGAAGAAUGAAGGGAGACACAACCUCUGCGACCAGGCAGAGCCGUCGCUCGUCAGCUGUCUGGGACAGCCACCCCCUGCCCAGCUUCAGACUCCUCGCCUGCGCGGUCGGAGCAAUGCAGCUCGGCAGGGUUGUGCCCCUGCAGCAAACCCCUGGAGUGGAAGAGGCAAAUCCAGCAAGUCUCACCCCCAAAAGCUCCCAUACAUAUCACUGGAAAAGGCUUGCAAUGAUUACAGUCCAGAUCGGCUCUGAAGCAUCUGUCACACCAGUCGGUGCAGGCUGCUGCUGAGACAGCAAUUAAGGAGGGUUAUUAGAGCAUUGGCCAUCUAGGCGUAGUGGGACAUUGACGGUUCCCUGCUUCGAUGGUAAGUCACGAUGUCUGAUUGUCAGGAGCUUGGAAAUGAGUUGCACUUUGCGCUGGGAAUGCCAGACAUGCCAUGUCACCUUCACAUAAUGAUCAUCAAAUGCUUAUUCAUGGAAAUCAUUUUUUCCUGUCUCUCUCAGCCACACAACCCUUAAAAAUGCCUCUGUUGCCAAUGGAGCUUUUCCUAGGAGCUUGCACAUUUUUUCCCUCUGUUUCUCCUGGUCUCCUUCUGCACUUCGAUCCUCAGUGCUGGUGUUGAGGAUGUUAGGUUAGAUGAAAGUGUAACUGGCUAGCACUUCUCUCACUCCGGGGAGCAGAAAGGGCUGCUUCAUCAGGAACAGUCAUUGGCUUUAUCUGCAGGGAGCUGAAGGAGAUUUCAUUAGACAUUUCAGCCAUGAUAUCAAGAUUUAAGACUUUGAUUCAAAAUUUUAUUGUUCUCCAUAAAUAAGCCUCAGCUGCUACAUGACAUCAGAAAGCCUAAGGCUGGUAUCACACAAACCUCUUUUCCCUCCUCCUCCCUCUAGCACAUAGCUCUAGGAAAAAUAAUUCAUUUUAAUUAAGUUGAGGAAUAUCUUUAAACUGAGCAUGAAAAUUGGAAUUUAUUAUUCCUGAUGUACAGGACAUCAAGGUUAUGGUUCACACUGGAAUUUAACUCAUUGUUCAUCCACAUUAACAUAGAGCGAAGUAGUAAAAGAGAGACUAAGAGACUACACAAAUUUGACAUUUAAACCCACUACCAAAUCCACAUGGUAGUUAAUCACUGCACAGAGUAUAUCGCCUGUGUCUAAAAUGUGCAGCAAGCCAUACUGGCCACUACAGCCUUCUCCAGCAGUCACCAAACAAUGGACCUCCCCCCCUAACUACCCAACAGUGCUCAGAGGUCACCCCCGUUCUCCAGUCCUGCACACCGAGGGUCUACAAAUGC
rnacentral:lncRNA from 1 species